GAGGCAGAACGGAGUCGCCAUCUAGUUACUUCCCUACAUUCCUGUUACUCCACACAGACUAUUGAAACAAUGGUUCCCAAGGAAAUGGAAUUUUCUCUGGAGUCUCCUGCUGGUGAAAGAGAAAGGCUGGAAGGCAGAGAUUUUAUGCAGCUCUGGACGCUUGUCAGUCUUGCAGAAGAGACUGAAGCUUGACAGUGCUGCUGGGGGAUCACAUCUUGAGCAGAAUCUCUUAGUUCUACCUACCUCUUGCCCUCUAUUUAAAUGUAAACUUCCUCUGGCAGGACCCUGAAGAUGAGCUUGGGGUGACAGUCACUGGACUUCCUUUAUGUUCCUCUUCCUUCCCAGGGUGGCCACGUUGAAAUAAAUCUCCCUCCUCCGCUUUC